rnacentral:rRNA from 1 species
GACGAACGCUGGCGGCGUGCUUAACACAUGCAAGUCGAACGGAAAGGCCCUGCUUUUGUGGGGUGCUCGAGUGGCGAACGGGUGAGUAACACGUGAGUAACCUGCCCUUGACUUUGGGAUAACUUCAGGAAACUGGGGCUAAUACCGGAUAGGAGCUCCUGCUGCAUGGUGGGGGUUGGAAAGUUUCGGCGGUUGGGGAUGGACUCGCGGCUUAUCAGCUUGUUGGAGGGGUAGUGGCUUACCAAGGCUUUGACGGGUAGCCGGCCUGAGAGGGUGACCGGCCACAUUGGGACUGAGAUACGGCCCAGACUCCUACGGGAGGCAGCAGUGGGGAAUAUUGCACAAUGGGCGGAAGCCUGAUGCAGCAACGCCGCGUGCGGGAUGACGGCCUUCGGGUUGUAAACCGCUUUCGCCUGUGACGAAGCGUGAGUGACGGUAAUGGGUAAAGAAGCACCGGCUAACUACGUGCCAGCAGCCGCGGUGAUACGUAGGGUGCGAGCGUUGUCCGGAUUUAUUGGGCGUAAAGGGCUCGUAGGUGGUUGAUCGCGUCGGAAGUGUAAUCUUGGGGCUUAACCCUGAGCGUGCUUUCGAUACGGGUUGACUUGAGGAAGGUAGGGGAGAAUGGAAUUCCUGGUGGAGCGGUGGAAUGCGCAGAUAUCAGGAGGAACACCAGUGGCGAAGGCGGUUCUCUGGGCCUUUCCUGACGCUGAGGAGCGAAAGCGUGGGGAGCGAACAGGCUUAGAUACCCUGGUAGUCCACGCUGUAAACGGUGGGUACUAGGUGUGGGGUCCAUUCCACGGGUUCCGUGCCGUAGCUAACGCUUUAAGUACCCCGCCUGGGGAGUACGGCCGCAAGGCUAAAACUCAAAGGAAUUGACGGGGCCCCGCACAAGCGGCGGAGCAUGCGGAUUAAUUCGAUGCAACGCGUAGAACCUUACCUGGGUUUGACAUGGAUCGGGAGUGCUCAGAGAUGGGUGUGCCUCUUUUGGGGUCGGUUCACAGGUGGUGCAUGCCUGUCGUCAGCUCGUGUCGUGAGAUGUUGGGUUAAGUCCCGCAACGAGCGCAACCCUUGUUCACUGUUGCCAGCACGUUAUGGUGGGGACUCAGUGGAGACCGCCGGGGUCAACUCGGAGGAAGGUGGGGAUGACGUCAAGUCAUCAUGCCCCUUAUGUCCAGGGCUUCACGCAUGCUACAAUGGCUGGUACAGAGAGUGGCGAGCCUGUGAGGGUGAGCGAAUCUCGGAAAGCCGGUCUCAGUUCGGAUUGGGGUCUGCAACUCGACCUCAUGAAGUCGGAGUCGCUAGUAAUCGCAGAUCAGCAACGCUGCGGUGAAUACGUUCCCGGG